GUAGAGCCAAAGGACGGUCAUGAAGUCCACCUUGCCUAUGCAAGUGAUGAUGCAAGUCUAAGAUGAAGAUCUUAGCUUAACUACACUGCAUCUUUGUUUUAUGUUGCUUUAGGGGUCGUCCAUCAAGGAAGCAUACAAUGAUUAUAUUUUUUGUCAGAUGUGUUGAAAGCUACAUAGCUUUGUUGUCUACUGUUUUUUAAAUAUUCCAACAUUUUUAUGGUUUCACAG
rnacentral:lncRNA from 1 species